AAAAGCUUAAGUUAAAGAAACUAUUGACCUUCAAAGUCAAAAACAGAUAUUAAGCCCUCUAGCUUUUA
rnacentral:tRNA from 1 species